GCCGAGCUGCGUUUGCCACAAGAUUCCGGAAGGAGAGCACUGUGGGACCCACGGGGCGCAUCUGAUGUGCAUUUCUGUGUGACAACAGAUACACCGUUUGGCCUGCUGCUAGCCGCCCUGCAAAGACCAUCUGUAGCCUGGGCCUUCAGUGAUCCGCUCCAAGAUUGCCACUGAGAACCAUCAUCAAACAAGUAGGCAAACCCCUCAACACUCCUUGAAGAACUGGGGCCUUAUGUAUCAACGCUGGCGGCGCCAGAAAACCUUGCGUACGCCAAAAUUGGCGCACACGUCCAGAUUUAUCAUUGCGAAACGAGCGUCGGUUCCAGCGCUAAUCAACGCAAAGUCAGGAGGUGGUGUAGAAGUUGGCGUUGAGCCGAUACUUGCGUUGAUGGCACUUUGGCGACGCUGUGUGGCGGUGUUUGGUCACUCACUAUGUGACAAGCGUGCACCACAUCCCCGUGGCCGAGCAGCACGUUGCCCCACAUGACGAACCAGCAGCAGACGGAGGGAUGCGAGCUGAUCCCUGCCGGGCCGCCGUGUCUCGCGGGAGAAUCUCAUCGCCACAGUGUGAAUGGGUAAGAAGUGAAUACACAGUUCAAUGAGCCAAAUUAAUUUAUUUUCGCCACCAGACGCUCGAGGACAUUUACGAGCUGGUCCAGCCGCUCGUUGAUCCCCGCGACCCCCCUGAUGAUUUCUUCCUGCGAUUGCAGGACCGCCUCCAUGAGGACCCUUCCACUGCGUCUGGGUGGUCCAGCGGAAGCGCCGCGGCUGGUGGACGCUCCACCGCUUGUCGGCGCGCUGGUGCUGAUGCUGGUGCUGGUGCUGGUGCUGGGGCCGGGGUGGCCCGAAUGCCGCUGGUCCUGGCCGACAACUCGGCGGACGGGCUGCCGCGGGCCGGGGCUCCGCAAGCCGGCGACACGGCCGACACAUUGAUUUCUGUGACACAAUAAAAAUAUUGGAUCAUUUCAAUUCCUGCUUCUGUGUAUCUGUUGCGUUUACGUCUCUCUCCACGUUAUCAUAGGUAAUGUAAUCCAGUAUUUAGAGGUCAGUUAUGCACAUUACAGUUGUUUAUUGCAUAAAAACUUAUCGAAAAAUGAAGUAAAGGGCGAAGUAUAAAUCACGUCUAAAAAUAGACUGAAUCCCGACGUUGAAAUGAAGUUUAAACUUAGACUAGACGUCUAAUAUACGUCUUUUGCUCAGUAGGAUGGCAAAGCAUGUGGACAUUUGUGUGACAUGCCACUUACCCUAUAAUAAUAAUCGCCACCACCCGCUGCUCAAACGGCGUGAGGGUCUCCUCCCCAGGACCCCCACCUGUCUGGCCGGUACUCCUCCGGAGGGCAGCUGUACGCCGCUUGACCUCCACCUUGAGGUCCGACCACUUUUUUUUAAUCUCCGCGGGGGUGCGUGUCUCGGAACCCAUCGCGUUCACCCUCUCGCAAACUUUCUCCCACUCCAAGCGUUUUUGUUUUGCACUGAAGCCACUGGAUAGGCUGCCAAACAAAACACGCUGUCGCUCCUCCACCUCCGCCACCAGCACCUCCACCUCGCAUGCCGUAAAUUUAGUUUUUCUUGUCAUUUUGUCUGCGUGCGAGGACAGGGAGACCCUAAUUAAAUAAAUCUGCAUAUUUAUAGGAGGGCGUAACGGGGACGGGCCCAGUCACUCCGACAUCUGCGCUCAAUUCCACGCUGAUUGGGAUUUAUCAAGGAAACACACGUGGAUUUCGGCGCCCGCACACAUUGAUACAUACAGAUUUUUUUCAGCGUGACGGACCUUGCAUGCGCUCGUUUCUGGUAUGAGUCCCACGCAAGUGUUGAUUCAUAAGGCCCCUGGUGAUGCUGUCAAGCGUUCAGAGCUUAUAAUUUUAAUUAUAGUUUAGUUUCUCCAAAUUCCUCUUCAAAAUUGAUCCUUGUAACCCCAUUAACGUAGGUUAAAUUUUUCCUUAUUCACUCACUAUCAUUAACCUCCAGUUUUAGCUUAGUUCAAACCAUUACGUCAUUCAUUCAUUAGAUGUUCUUUUAUUUUCCCAUUAUUUGAUCGUCAUUUAGUGAACUUAUGUUAUCACCUAGUAUUUGUCAAUAAAUUGUCCAUUUAAUUUUAAGUUGUCGUCUCUUUGUGGUCCUUCCAGAAGUGAAGUCCCUAAAAUAAGAAUUCCGGCCUCAGAUGCGAGAAUUAAUUUAAAUCUGUUUAAGACUGAUAUAAGAACGUUUGAUUACUCAAUUGAACUUUGUUUUGUCUUUUUCCCACUGGAAAAGGUGGGUGGUGCCCCUUCAACGAGUACAUAAAUGUCAUUAUUUAAUUCUAUUAUUUUAGGACAUUUAUUUUGAAUUCGAAUCGCUACAUGUCUCAUUUCCAGUCUCAUUUCCCUCAUGUCCUCAGUAAGUCUCUCUAUAGCUUUGUACGCACCUCCUCCAUCUAAUAUAGAGUGCACUAUGGCAGUUGCACUCCCUCCAGGGGAAGCGUGACGCGCCUGGAUGUUGACCAGUGGCGAUUGCUCUAAGACUGCAAGGGAAGCUCAGCGUCCCUUAAAAUGUCACCCCCCCCAAAAAAAGAAAAAGUGGUGAAAUACGUACUGCUGUGUGUACAUUUCAUUAACUAAAUAUGCGCUAGAAAGCCUUCAUCUUUUGUUCAUCUUUUGUUCUUAUCACACUGUAAUAAGAAGCUGACAAAUCACAGGUAACCGGCACAACUUUGUUCUCAUUCAUCCUCGCAGCGCCUCAGCGCUUCACACAGCCGGACGCUCAGCGUGUGCUGACUUCAAUGUGGAAGCUCAAAGUGGGUUGUUCCAGCAACGAAACUAGAUGCUCAUUGGAUAAAUGCUGGGCUUUGUCCUGCCCAUCGGACGCUCAGCGUCUCUGGAGUUCUAUGACGAGAGGGCGGUCCCAACUUUCUCGCGGACGCUGAGCUUCUGCAUCCAUGACUGGAUGAGCUAUCUGAGGC